rnacentral:rRNA from 1 species
GACGAACGCUGGCGGCGUGCUUAACACAUGCAAGUCGAGCGAUGAAGCACCUCCGGGUGUGAAUUAGCGGCGAACGGGUGAGGAACACGUGAGAAAUCUGCCUUCAACACUAGGAUAACUCCGGGAAACCGGGGCUAAUACCGGAUAUGAAACCUGCGGGCAUCCGCGGGUUUGGAAAGUUUUUCGGUUGAAGAUGAUCUCGCGGCCUAUCAGCUUGUUGGUGAGGUAAUGGCUCACCAAGGCGACGACGGGUAGCCGGCCUGAGAGGGCGACCAGACACACGGGGACUGAGACACGGACCAGACUCCUACGGGAGGCAGCAGUGGGGAAUAUUGGGCAAUGGAGAAAACUCUGACCCAGCGACGCCGCGUGCGGGAUGAAGGCCUUCGGGUUGUAAACCGCUUUCAGCAGGGAAGAAGCGAAAGUGACGGUACCUGCAGAAGAAGCACCGGCUAACUAUGUGCCAGCCGCCGCAGUAA